rfam:Micromonospora krabiensis strain DSM 45344 genome assembly, chromosome: I
CCGGUUCCGGUUCACGCCCGAGCCCGUCGCGCGGUGCGGCGGACGGUGACGGCGACCCGGCGACC